rnacentral:rRNA from 1 species
AAUUGGAGGGCAAGUCUGGUGCCAGCAGCCGCGGUAAUUCCAGCUCCAAUAGCGUAUAUUAAAGUUGUUGCAGUUAAAAAGCUCGUAGUUGAACUUCGGGAUCAAUAUUUCGGUCAUGCCGUUGGUAUGCACUGUUAUCAUUGAUUUCUCACCUUCUAAAGAACCGUAAUGCCAUUAAUUUGGUGUUACGGGGAAUUAGGACUGUUACCUUGAAAAAAUUAGAGUGUUUAAAGCAGGCUCACGCUUGAAUACAUUAGCAUGGAAUAAUGAAAUAGGACAUCCGAUUCUAUUUUGUUGGUUUCUAGGAUCGAUGUAAUGAUUAAUAGGGAUAGUUGGGGGCAUUAGUAUUCAAUUGUCAGAGGUGAAAUUCUUGGAUUUAUUGAAGACUAACUACUGCGAAAGCAUUUGCCAAGGAUGUUUUCAUUAAUCAAGAACGAAAGUUAGGGGAUCGAAGACGAUCAGAUACCGUCGUAGUCUUAACCAUAAACUAUGCCGACUAGGGAUCGGAUGAUGUUAAUUUUUUAAUGACUCAUUCGGCGCCUUACGGGAAACCAAAGUGU